rnacentral:rRNA from 1 species
GACGAACGCUGGCGGCGUGCUUAACACAUGCAAGUCGAACGGAAAGGCCCCUUUGGGGGUACUCGAGUGGCGAACGGGUGAGUAACACGUGAGUAACCUGCCCUCGACUUCGGGAUAACUUCAGGAAACUGGGGCUAAUACCGGAUAGGAAUCCUUGCUGCAUGGUGGGGGUUGGAAAGCUUCGGCGGUUUUGGAUGGACUCGCGGCUUAUCAGCUUGUUGGUGGGGUAGUGGCUUACCAAGGCUUUGACGGGUAGCCGGCCUGAGAGGGCGACCGGCCACAUUGGGACUGAGAUACGGCCCAGACUCCUACGGGAGGCAGCAGUGGGGAAUAUUGCACAAUGGGCGGAAGCCUGAUGCAGCAACGCCGCGUGCGGGAUGACGGCCUUCGGGUUGUAAACCGCUUUCAGCAGGGGCGAAGCUUGUGGUGACGGUACCUGCAGAAGAAGCACCGGCUAACUACGUG